rnacentral:rRNA from 1 species
AUGGAAAACUUCCCAUUGCUCUCCCGCCUUUCCUCCAUGGAGAACAUCGAUCUCUCCUCGUUCAAGAAGCGGUUGAACGCCGAUCUCUCCUCGACGAAGCGGUACCUGCGGUGGAAGUGGCUGAGGCUGUCGAGGAGGCGGUUCCUGGCGCGCAACUUCGAGGGCGCGCCGCCGGGUCUGAAGGCGGACUUCGUGAGCAUGCUCGAGGACGAGGAGGGCGCGGACGUGACGUUCGUCGUCGGCGACCGGCAGUUCCGCGCCUACAGGCGCGUGCUCACCGCGGGAUCGCCGGUGCUCGAUGCGGAGCUCGUCGGCCGCCAGAUGCAGGAGACCUCCGCGGAGCUCGUCAAGAUCGACGGCAUGGAGCCGGCCAUCUUCGAGGCCCUCCUCCACUACGCCUACACGGGCGCGCUGCCGGAUAGCGUCGACGGCAACGAGCCGCUGCAGCGACUGCUGGUCGCGGCGGACCGGUACGGGAUGCACAACCUGAUGGCGAUGUGCGAGUGGAAACUGUGCAAGAGCAUCGACGCGCAGACCGUCCCGACGACGCUGGCAUUGGCCGAGCAGCACCACCGUGCGAAGCUGAAGGAUGCUUGCAUCAGAUUCGAGUCCUCCAAGAUCAAGAGUGUGCUCGCCGCCAUCAAGGAACAGGAGCUGCCGUCGCGGGUGACAGGGACAAUGGCCCGGUUGGGGACGCGCGUCCAAGGGAGGCUAACGCUGUUGGGGACGAAGGCGACCUCGUUGUUCCUCCAUGCGAGGAACAGCCAGGCCUGCCGGGACACCCUGCUGUUUGUCUCCUCGUGGGGCCUUCUCCUAUACCUAGCCAUCCAAAUGGAGCACGUCAUAGAGGAGGCUAUCCAACUUGAGCAAGACUCUUGGCUCGACAACCUCCAACAGAUGCAGUCUUCCAUCUCUCGGGUCUCCUGGAUCUGCCGCCUCGCUUUCCUUGAGCGCAAUCUCCAAGAGUUCCAAGAAUCCGCAUGGCUCAACUCCGAUAUAUGA